rnacentral:rRNA from 1 species
UUGUAGCAAUACAACUGGCGCACGGCGCACGGGUGCGUAACACGUGGGUAAUCUGCCCUCUGAUGGGGAAUAACCCGCCGAAAGGCGGGCUAAUUCCGCAUAAUAUUCCGAGAACUUCGGUUUUUGGACUGAAAGGCGUAAGUCGUCGGAGGAGGAGCCCGCGCCCGAUUAGCUAGUUGGUAGGGUAAUGGCCUACCAAGGCUUUGAUCGGUAGCUGGUCUGAGAGGAUGGCCAGCCACACUGGAACUGAGACACGGUCCAGACUCCUACGGGAGGCAGCAGUGGGGAAUCUUGCACAAUGGGCGAAAGCCUGAUGCAGCGACGCCGCGUGGGGGAUGAAGCUUCUCGGAGUGUAAACCCCUUUCGAUCCGGACGAAUACCUCGCAAGAGGGGUGACGGUACGGAUAUAAGAAGCCCCGGCUAACUACGUGCCAGCAGCCGCGGUAAGACGUAGGGGGCCAGCGUUGUUCGGAAUUACUGGGUGUAAAGGGUUCGUAGGCGGUGUGGCAAGUCGGGAGUGAAAUCUCUGGGCUCAACCCAGAGGCUGCUUCCGAAACUGCUGUGCUUGAGUGUGGGAGAGGCGCGUGGAAUUGCAGGUGUAGCGGUGAAAUGCGUAGAUAUCUGCAGGAACACCCGUGGCGAAAGCGGCGCGCUGGACCACUACUGACGCUGAAGAACGAAAGCUAGGGGAGCAAACAGGAUUAGAUACCCUGGUAGUCCUAGCCCUAAACGAUCAGAACUUGGGGGUGCCACCCGUUCGGGUGGCGUCCCGGAGCUAACGCGUUAAGUCCUG